GACGGAGGGGGCUAGCGUUGUUCGGAAUUACUGGGCGUAAAGGGUGCGUAGGUGGUUUAGUAAGUUGGAAGUGAAAGCCCGAGGCUCAACCUCGGAAUUGCUUUCAAAACUGCUGAUCUAGAGUGUAGUAGGGGAUGAUGGAAUUCCUGGUGUAGGGGUGAAAUCCUUAGAUAUCAGGAGGAACGCCGGUGGCGAAGGCGAUCAUCUGGGCUAUUACUGACACUGAGGCACGAAAGCAUGGGGAGCAAACAGG
rnacentral:rRNA from 1 species